UGCAGUCAUGAACAGGUUCUUCUGGUUUGAUGUAGAUCAGUUCAUUGAACUUUUAAAAAUAUUAAUAAUGAUAAUUAUCACAGAUGCAAGGACUUCCAGUUAGCAGACUGAACCAUGGUAGAAUUCAAUACUCAAGUGUUGACCUUGCAGCAAUGGUUUAUAGUGGUAACUCACUCACAGUUGCCAUGCACAUCAGAAAUUAUGCUCUGUCAGUAUUACAGAUUUCUGAAAACACCCAGAUUAUGAUACAAAACUCUGGCUUCCUCUAUCCUCAGUGAACUACCUGAUUCCGCUUGGGAUUCCAGAGCUCGGGAAGGGUCAGUGAGGUCAAGUCAUCAACUACAGUUUUUGUGUAUCGCCUGUUGCUGGGGCCGGAGUCAAAGCGCUCUGCAGAGAUGGUGUUCGGUGCUCGGUGUCGAAUAGGUGGUCGGAGGCUGGGAGUUUUUUGGACGGACUCGGAGUCAGACUGUGGUCGGAUGCUUCCAGGAUGCUGCACCGGCAAGUUGGCGGCACUGGAGGUUCACCGUCUGCGUGAGAUGAUGGGACUUUCGAGAGACUUUGAGACUUUUACUGUGCCAUGGAAGAGACUAAAGACAAAGACACCAGAGGUAUGGACAACAAAGACAUGCUGAUGAGAGACAAGGGAAUGACUAUGGGGCUGCUUCAAAUCAAUGAACUGGGCCAUGUUCAAGGACUCAGAGGAACUGAAUGAAUACACCACGGUUGUCACGGACUUUAUAAAGACUCUCAUGGACAAGUGUAUCCACACAAAAUCAUUCAGGGUCUUCCCCACCCAGAAACCCUGGAUUUACAAUCUGCUGAGGGCUAGACCUGAGGGGUUCAGGACUGGCAAUCCAGGAAAGUACAAGAGGUCCAGGUAUUACCUCCAGAAAGCCAUCCUACAUGCAAGCUGGCGAUUCUGGACUAAACCUGAAUCACAGAAGAAUGCCCGGCAGCUAUGGCAGGGCUUGAAUGUCAUCAUAUCAUACAAACCAAAAUCAAGCAACAUACAGUAAUUGACAACAAGGCUUUGCUCCCAGGUGAGCCCAAUACCUUUUACGUUUGCUUUGAUGGAAAAAACAUGGUAGCACCUUCACAAACGCCCGGCAAUCCUGUGAUUUCAGUCUUUGAGGUCAAUGUGAGAGCAUCUUUCAAGAGGCAGACUACUACUACUACGUCAACUCAGGCCUAGGGGGCCGGCGUCGGGCACGAUGACCGACUCUCCACUUCUCCCUCUCCAUCAUCAGUGUGUUCAGUUCACCUACAUUAGCCGCGCCGCUGUCUUCUAGGAGCGUGUUGACCAUAGUCUUGGGAGGGCGCCCAGGGUUCAUCCUUCCGUGCUUGGGCUCCCAUAUGAUGACUAGGCUGGCAGGUAGCUCGGGGUGGCGUAGACAGUGCCCCGCUAGUUGCAGUCUUCUCGCCUUGAUUUUAGUGGAGAGCAUCAGUAGGUUGUUAUAGAGCUCAACGUUCGUCAUGUGCUGUUGCCAACUCACAUCAAGAGCCAUCCGGAGCAUUCGUGUAUAGCAACCAUCUAGAGACUUUCACAUCGUCUUGGUGAGUGUCCACAUCUCGCAUCCGUACAUGAGAACGGACUCUAUGACGGCUAUGAAAAUCCCCUUUUCAAGCCCUCUGGUCAGGUUUGACUUCCAGAUUUCCUUCAUGUCGUUCAUAGCCCUCCACGCCAGCGCCUUCCGUAUCUUUAUGUUCUUCUCCGAACUCAUCAAGAGGCAGAACCCACGGAAAACAUCUGGUCCUGACGGUGUACUUGGCCAAGUACUGAAGACCUGUGCUAAUCAACUGGCUGGAGUGUUCGUGAACACCCUCAACCUCUUGCUUUGGCAGUCUGAGCUCCCCACCUGCUUCAAGCAGUCUUCAAUCCAUACCGGUCCUGAAAAAGAACGUGGUAGUCUGCCUCAAUGACUGUCGUCCUGUGGCACUGACAUCCACUGUGAUGAAGUCUUUUGAGAGGUUGAUCAUGAAGCAUAUUCACUCCUACCUGAGCAGAGAACUGGAUCUGCUCCCAUCUACCUACUGUCACAACAGGUUAACAUGAGAAGCCAUUUCACUGGCCCUUCACUCAGCUCUGGGACAUCUGGGGUAUGACGGUGCAGACAUCAGGAUGCUCUUCAUUGACUACAGCUCGGCAUUCAACACGUUCAUCCCUCGGCACUAUUCAACAACCUGCAAGACCGAGGCCUGGAUACCUCCUUGUGCAACUGGAUUUUCAAUUUUCUCAGUUCAGAUUGGCAACAAGAUCGCCUCCACAAUCACCAUCAGCACAGAUUCAGCACAAGCCUGUGUGCUUAACCCCUCACCCUCCCACCGCUCUACUCACUUUAUACUUAUGACUGUAAGACUCAGUACAGUUCCAAUGGCAUACUUAUGUUUGCUGACGACACUAAUGCUAUUGGCCAAAUCCAAGGUGGUGAUGGAUGAGCAUAUAGCAGGGAGAUUGAAAAUAUCCUGAGUGGUGCUGGAGCAAAGACUUCUCACUCAAAGUCAGCAAGACCAAAGAACUGAUUACUGACUACAGGAGGAGGAAACCAGAGGUCCAUGAGUCAGUCCUCAUCAGGGGAUCAGAGGUGUGGAAUCAUUAACGCUCAGGAACAGAAAAGUCUACAGAAGGUGGUAGAUAUGGUCCAGUCCAUCACAGGCAAGGCGCUCCCCACCUUUAAACAUACUUAGAAGGAUGACUAGCACCAGAGAGCAUCUAUCAAGCACCUGCAACCAUCCAGGCCGUGCUCUGUUCCCGCUACCAUCAGGCAGGAGGCACAGGAGUCUCAGGUCCCAUACCACCAAGUUCAAGAACAGUUGUUACUCCUCAACCAUCAGGCUUCUGAAACAGCGUGGAUAACUUCACUCACCUGAACUCCGAACUGAUUCCACAACCUACACACUCACUUUCAAGGAGUCUACAACUCCUGCGGUCAGCAGUAUUUUUUUUAUAUUUGCACAAUCUGACCACUUUUGCGCACUGGUUGUUUGUAAAUCUUUAUGUAUAGUUUUUCAUAAAUUCUAUCGUAGUUCUUCAUUUUUCAGUAAAAACCUGCAAGAAAAUGAAUCGUAAGGUUGUAUAUUGUGACAUCUACGUAUUUUGAUAAUAAAUUUACUUUGACUUUGACUUUUAUUUGAGCCUGCAAUGACCUGCUUAAUAUGCAGUUCACAAUGAUCACUGCACAAUUCCCAUUCCUCCCACUCCACAAGUCAUCACUGAACACUCCAAUAAUACCAACACAGCAAGUUAAAUGCAGCAGUCAGGAAUGAGUACUCCCAUGGUAUUGCACCAGCCUCUGACCCAUCGUGAAGCCUCAGGAAACCAUAAAAGCAUUCUCUUUCCAAAAUGAAUUAUGGAUCACACACCUUCCCUGUGCAGCGGUGUUUGUUUUAAAAUUUGUUGCUAUUCA